UUAAACUCGACGCGCCCUGAGUUMGUGCUAUUAGUACAAAUAAACAACUGCUUAUUUGGAUGCAGAUAUCUAUUUUACGCUGUUCUCAGGAGACAUUUCAGUGUGUGUAGAACACAUUUGACCAGGUGGAGUCAGGCUUCUACUUCAUUGCCCUGGACCACUACACCAACGAGGCAGAGGACACCAAGUUUGGACCAUUCUGCCCUCUCUAUAGAUUAUGCUGAUGCCCCACCGUAAGAACCUGGAGCUCUUCACUGGCUCUGUGGGAGGUGACGUGGCCACAAAUCAGUGCCUGGGACACCUUACAGCGCUACCACUGUCUGGACAACAGCCAAAGGGUGGUCAAGACAUCUACUGCAACUUCAUCUUUAGUGUGUCAGCUCUGCUGCACCUGAGAGAUAAAGAUGGCUCUGGCUUGCUGAUGACAUCUGAUCUGACUCCUUGCAAUUUGACUCCUGUAUUACUGACUGUAUUAAAUAAAACUUCCAAUGCCAAAUUGAAAUAUUUUUUGAUUCUGUUAUUGAUAGACAAUGGUACUUCCCAAUCAGACAAUUACAAAAAAAAAGAAAUAAUGAAUCUGUUUUCCUCAGUGCAAUGUUUYGUGAAUGCAUGGUGUUGUUUUGUCCUCAGUCCUCCUUUGAAUGCUGUGUGUAGUGAUUCAGUUCUAAACAACUGUCAUCGAGUCCAUCAAAUCAAAUGUAC